rnacentral:rRNA from 1 species
UACGGAAGGGGGCUAGCGUUGCUCGGAAUCACUGGGCGUAAAGGGUGCGUAGGCGGGUCUUUUAAGUCAGGGGUGAAAUCCUGGAGCUCAACUCCAGAACUGCCUUUGAUACUGAAGAUCUUGAGUUCGGGAGAGGUGAGUGGAACUGCGAGUGUAGAGGUGAAAUUCGUAGAUAUUCGCAAGAACACCAGUGGCGAAGGCGGCUCACUGGCCCGAUACUGACGCUGAGGCACGAAAGCGUGGGGAG